GAAAAACACAUUUGACCCGGUAAAAUAUAAAUGGAUGGAAACGCUGAAAUGACUCAAAGCCACACAAUGGCAUACAAAUUCAGCGGUGACUACUAUCCUUAACUUACAUUAUUGAUGUGAUUUCUAAAUGUUUGGUUAGAAAUCGAUACCUAAAAUAAGCCUCCCUAAAAAUAACUUAUCUACCUCCGGUAUAAAUACUCUUGAACACCAUCCUUUCUCUUCAGACCUGCAAGAAAAUAAAAAUAAAAAGUAACAAAAGUAGCAAGAAAUAAGAAAAGAAAAAAACCUUUCAGGUCUCAACUAAAAAUGGAGAUGAAGAAGAUUGCCUGCGGAGUUCUUUUCGCUGCUGCCUCCGUGACCGCCGUCAUGGCUACAGAGGUUGGAGCUCCUGCACCAGGACCCGCCGCAAGCGGAGCCUCCGUAGCCGUACCGGCUCUUGGCUCAUUGGUUGGAGCUUCCCUUGUGUCUCUCUUCACCUACUACUUAAACUAAAUUAAUCUUAUACAAAAAAAUUGAUGCCCAUGUCUGAUUUUGUACGUGUUUAGACAGGCAAAGUGAAUAAGACGGAAGACGAAUACUUUUGAUUAUGGUCAGAUAAACUUUAUGUAAUGCUGAUUAAUAAAUAUACGUUCUUCUCUUCCUUUUGUCCAUAUUAUACGCCAUUUUAGGCACCAUCAUUCGUUUCUGUAAUAAUUUGCAUGCAAAAAUCACAACUCAACAUAAAAGCAUAAUACUGAUAAUAGACAGCAUGAUGGACAUCUUAUUGGAUGCUAUAUCAAUCGAAUUAGCUGGUUAGUAGCUAAAAUUAUAUGCGUAAGAAAUAUUUCAAUCACAAUCAUUCGCUACUCAACAUCCAUACUGAUACAACGUAACGUAGUGUUAUAUUUCGUCUGUGGAUUCUUAACGUUAUCUUAUUUAGCUAUAUGCAUUAUCUUCUAGAAGGGUAUACUCAAUAUUUCCUUUUUUAUCCGAGCUACAUAUUUCCUUUUUUUUAUCCGAGCUCAAUAUUUCCUUUUUUUCUCAACAAAUCAUAUUAGGAUUUCAUUUUCCUUUCUGACCAGUAUCAGGGUUUAUAAAUACUACAUUGCACUACUAAGAUCAUAUACAGAAACAAACCAUCAAUAUUGAUCACAGCAGCAAGGUCAAUAGCGAGACAAUGCGAUCUAACAGAAAGAAACCAAAGAAUGAUCAGACCAAACCAGAGAUGAAGUUCAUCAAGUCUCUCGGAAAGGGUACGUACGGCUCCGUAGAUCUCUUCAGUUACACCAAAGGCGACGGCUCAACGUUCUACAACGCCGUGAAGAUCUCUGAUUCCAAAUACUACAACUCUAUCAACAGAGAGUUCAAGGUCCUUUCGAAACUCAGAGGAUGUCAAGGAAUCGUGCAAUCUUUUGGUAACUCACUGCUUCAAGAAACCGAUUCUGAUGGAAAGAAAGUCUACAAGAUGGCUAUAGAGUACGCAGCUGGUGGUAACCUAACCGACUUCAUCCGAAUAAACCGAAAGUUAUCGGACACGUUCGUUAAAGACUUCACUCGGAUGCUUCUCCAAGGGUUAGCGUCGGUACAUGACCACGGUUAUGUACAUUGCGAUCUUAAACCGGAGAAUCUCCUUCUCUUCCCGCGUCACGAUCAAGAAACGCGGUUUUGCUCGUACGAGUUAAAGAUUUCGGAUUUUGGAUUGACGAUAAAGGCAGGAGAGGAGUCUGUCUGUUGGGAAACCAAAUCUCCGUUUGUCGGAACGCCGUUAUACAUGUCUCCGGAGUCGGUACAUGACGGUACCGCCGUGGAGAAAACCCUAGACUUGUGGUCGUUAGGUUGCGUGGUGUUGGAGAUGUGUGUAGGUAAGCAUCCGUGGUCAGGGUUUAGUGUUGAUGAUAUAAAGUCUCGUUUGUUGUGUGGGAAGGCGCCAGAGAUUCCAGAGACUGUGCCUUGUGACGCAAGGAAGUUUGUGGAGAAGUGUUUUGCAAGAAAGGCUGAAGAGAGGGGAAGUGCUUCUGAGCUGUUGUUGCAUCCGUUUUUGGUCGGAGAGAGGAAGGUGGAUGGUGCCGGCGGCGGCGGCGGAGGAGAGAGGAGGCGGGUGGGGUUGAGGAUCAGAAAACCACCGGAGAGGUUUGACGAUAUUGCAAAGAAGCCAUUGAAAUUGAAGAUUAUCUCGUCUAAGUCCUCGCAGUUUAAGAGAGUUUCGAAUAAACCCCAAAAGGUUAAGAUUGGUCGUUCUAGACACCCAAAAUCUAAUUUUGCUCCCGUGCAGUAGUUUCCUGAAAUUAAAAGUACCGCUGUUACUCUGUCAAAAAUGUUAAUUUUGGCAAUUAUCAAAUUGUAUGCUAUAUGAAAAUCGAUAAUGCAUAUAUUUCCAGUUUUUCGAAAAUUUAUGUCUAGUUAAUGUUAAUGCUCAAUAUAUUUCCUCAAAUGUUUGGGCCGAAACAUAAGGCCUGUUGAAGAAUUGGCCCAUCGAGAAGCUUAGUGGUAGAAUCACCAACAUGAAAUUAAGGAAGAACUUCUUUUGGUUAAUAAUAGGUUUAAGUAGCUAGCCAAUGUAUAUUUUUAGCAACGAAAAAUGAGAUAUAUUUAUGUAUACAUGACUCAUUUUGACGCACGAGGGUUCUAAUAUUAAAAAUCAAAUCAUUGUAAGAGUUUAUGUUUCCUUCUUGAAAUUUGUUUGUUUUAGACAAGAAAAUUGACAAGAGCGUCGGAGACAUAUCACAUAUAUAAUGUAGAGAAAGUUCCCCACAUACAUUGUUAAACCAUUAUCUGAAAAGAUGCUUUCACUAUAUUUUAUAUGUAGUUAUGUAUAUAUAGGAAUAUUCAUAAAUGGUGGUCCAAAUAAAAGAAACAAGACCCAUAUGAGUUUCAGACAAUAAUGAUAAUCACAAACCUACCAAAAGCUUUAGAUCUCCCAAAAGCUAUAAUAAUCCACAUUUCACAUUUGUAUGUAUGUUCAUAUUGACAUUUCACUUACAUAGACAGAGCUGAGAGACCCAUUCUCUCAAAUGUUGUUGUCACUGCCGAUACAGAAAUCUUACUCAUUCAAUCAUGUUUUUUUAACCUAACGCUUAUUUUUAACUCUCUUCUUUAUACUAAAUAUUUAUUCACAUUAUUUUUUAUCCGACUCUCUUACACGUUCUGAAACUAACGACUAUAUAAAUUUCAAACAAUAAGACAUGCAAUUUUAAACGUUAUCAUAUAUAGGAGUUCUAAGGACACGAGUGAGAGUAAAGCUAGGCUGAUACGUUUUUCUAUGCCGAAUUUAGAAAAAUUAUGUUGAUUAUUGCUGAUUUGUAGAACAUUGGUGUUUAGUUUUAAACUCACUAAGAUUGUUCAUAUAUAUGGUUUUGCGUUAAAUUUUCUAAUCUUAUGGAAAGGUAUGAUAGUUUAGUAAAAACAGUCCUCUUUAAGUUGUAAAUGCCUUCACUUUCAACUUUUCAGUUCAAAAAAAAAAGUUGUAAAUGUGUAAUGAACAUUAUACCAUGGGUAUUAAUUGAUCGUGGCAUUAUUGUAUUAAAAAAAACUAAUAAUGAGUUUGGUGAAUUCGAUGAAGUGGUGACUUAUAGAAUAGAUGGUUUAACACUGAAAGAGACCGGUGAGGUCUUCAUGUUGUUUUUAACUCCACUUGCAUUUGUUCUAUAGCUUUUAAUUUUGGGCUUCCUAUAUAUCAUUCUUAUUUUCUGUAUUCUUCUUGUGCACAAAAAAAAACUGUAUUCUUCUACUUAAAAUAAAAUAUCUUUCACCAUGUAUUUUCUAUAUUACUUUGAAGUUCGGUCCUUAUAUAUAGCUAAACAUUGUGAUGUCACAUACAAAGGGAAAGGACAAGAUAUGCUUGUCCCUCAAAAUCUAGACUCUUUUUCUCAUCUUCUAUAUUUAUGAUCUUUAUUUAUUACUGGCCACACAAUUCACCAAUUUUCUUCUGAGAAAACAAUAAUAAAUUAGAGGGAAUUUGCUACAUAUAUAUAUAUAUGUAAAUAAGAGGAUAUAAGAGUGGAAGAGUUGAAUCCAAGAAAUGGAUGUGAAGGCAAGAAAGUGAGAGAUAUGGUCCCCUCAACAAAGGCCAUUAAAUCUCUGAGCAUAUGACUGUGACUUUAAUGGCAAAGCAAAGAGGUUUGCAAUUGCAUGAUUCAACGAAGAGUUGCUGUUAGGGCUUGGGAGAUUUGUGGGCUUUUAAGUGCAUGUUUUUUGUGGGGUUCAAAUGCCAUUCAUGGGACCCGAUUACAUUUUCUUAGAUUACUAGUCUAUGGUUGUGUUUUUUUGAAAACCUUUUUUUUCUUGAAGAAUUUUCUAUUGCAUGAGCUUUAAAAUGAUUAUAUAUAGGCUAAUAUUGUGGAUACUGAUUAAGACUUGGGCUCAAACAAACUAUACAGAUCCAAAUAUUUUUCACAAUCUUCGACCGUCCUCGGUACACAUUAUUUUAAAAUACAUAUUCUAGGUUGUAAAGAGUGUUUUCCUUAUUAUAGAAUAAUAAAAUAGUUCUAGAAAAUACGUUAAACAUUUUUUUAUAAAUUAAUAUUGUUUAAUGUAAACUUAAAGCGCUUGAAUCACUUAUGAUGAUUUACCAGGGAUAUAAUUCGUCGAUAUAGUUUUGAAAAUUUAAAUUGGAUGUUAGGUUUAUUUGUGGAAAAUAAAGACAUGUGGACUCCUCAUGCGAAGUCCAAAAUCUGCAAAAUUAUGUAUGUAAAAUAAUGUACUUUGGGACCAGUACUUGGCAUGGACAUUACCAUAGUUGAAUUAAUUUCCGUUCUUACAAUACGUUUUGAUUAGUCAUACAUCACAUACACAUUUUGUGAAUCGGUGAAUUUGUGCAAUGAAGUCACUCUAAAACAACCAGUGUAGGGUAAUCCUUCUGAAGCAAUUUUGAAGAUAGGAACAAUUUUUUCUUAGUUGAAAAAUCUAUAAAUGAUGCUUUUUUUCUUUUAUAAGAGAAUAGUUUCAUAUGUUGACCAAAAAGGAAUAGUUGAGCUAUCAACAAAUGGAUGAUCCAUAUUGGAGUGUAUAGAACAACGAGAAAUGAUACAUAUGCCAUUAAACAAUAUAAUUUUCUUUAUGAAAAAACGUGUAAUAUUUAUGUGUUCUUUUCUGGGAUAAUCGUUCAUCUCUUUUCAUCAAGCAAAUAUCAAAACUAGUAACAAACUUUGUUUUGUCAACUAACAAUAUUAUUAGAUUAAAAAUCAAACUAAUGGGAUUAAAGUUGGAUCUUCUUACAAAAUAUCAAAAUAAUUUUUCUUAAAAAAGUAUCGAAAUUUAUUGUGUAGAUACAUAAAGGUAAUACAUAGUUCAAAAUAAAGAAGACGUGGAUCAAAUCUUGCCGGAUGAUCGAGUUGGUAAGUAUCAUCAAUAAUAGAUUACAUUGAUGAUGGUAUGGUGAGAACUCUACAAACAAAGGUUCAAUAUUAUGUUUAAUUAUCUGGUGAUGACUGAUGACAUAGACUAGUUGAUUAAUUAUUAGCAUCAUUCAAUGAUCAUGCAUGUCCAAGGACCACCUCUCUCUCUUUCUUGUAAGAUUAUCUUUUCACCAGUCGGGCAAAACAUCCAAGAGAGUAAAAAUCUGGUCCUUGAGAGAGAGAGAGAGAGCUAUCUUUAAAUAGGUCUCUCUCUUAUCUCUAGUCUACUAGUAGUAAAAUUCAUGUACUUAAUACGUAGACAUAAUAACCAAAUAGCUAGGUUCAUGGUGUAAAAGAGUACAUACCUAACUUCACCGUGGUUACCUACGAACUCUUACUCUAUAUAGUUCACAUCCCAUUAGUUAUAUAUUAGUUAAUUAGUUUUGAGUUAAACUUAAAUUAAAAUUAGAAGUACAUAAUUAAGGAAUCAAGGGUGGUAGGUAUCUAAUGUGUAUAUAUAAUAGAUCUUUUACAUGUUCCAAAGAUUAUUUUGAACUAUUUUUAUUUCUUUCUGAUUUUUAUGUAUACAAAACUAGCAUUUUAAAUUCUUUAAAGAACAUGUAAAAAUCCUUUAAAGAACAAAACAAAUACUACUAUACAUGCGAGAGUAAUGUGAAUCACUUGGGUGGAUAAAAGUAAAAUUGUGAUAUAUAUACCCACGGGAAAUAUAACAAUUAAUUACCUUAAAAAGAAUUUUAGAAAACCUCUUUAUAUUAAUGCAAAACCUCAUCUCUUGUCUUCCUGUCUCUGAAACAGCCAACCUCUCAAACUCAUUCAUUCCUCACUCUCUUUCUUCCAUGGACGAAACAAAUGGACGAAGAGAAACUCACGAUUUCAUGAACGUCAACGUUGAAUCUUUCUCUCAGCUUCCUUUCAUCCGCCGUACUCCUCCCAAAGAAAAAAGCUCCAUUAUUCGUCUCUUCGGCCAAGAACUCGUCGGAGACAACUCCUCCGAUGCUCAACAGGAAGACUUCUAUGUAGAUUCUUCCGAAACCACAACGACCAAGAUCAACGAAGAGAGCUCUGAGAAUGUCAAGGACAAGGACAAAGACAAGGAGAAAGACAACAGCAAUAACAGGAGAUUCGAGUGUCACUACUGUUUCAGAAACUUUCCAACUUCUCAAGCCCUAGGUGGACACCAAAACGCUCACAAACGCGAACGUCAACACGCCAAACGCGGUUCUAUGCCAUCAUACCUUCAUCAUGCUGACCAUCACCACGUCUACGGCUUCCUCAACAACCAUCACCACCGUCACUAUCCCACGUGGACGACGGAAGCUAGAUUCUACGGUGGUGGAGUAGGAGGAAACCAAACGCCGUCGUAUUACUCACGCACUCUUCUUCCUCCUCCUUCUUCUUCUAACCCACCGAUGAUCAAUGGAAGUCCUUUGGGUUUGUGGCGUGUACCACCACCUUCCACGUCAGCAAACGCUAUUCAUGGCGUUUACUCAGCUUCACCAGCGUUUCAAACGCAUGAGCAGGAGCGUAAAGAGUCGAAGUGGCCGUACAGAUUGAUGAAACCUAAUGUGCAGGAUCAUGUGAGUCUCGAUCUUCAUCUUUGACACUUUGUUUUUGGUAUCCAUCAUCACUUUAACUUAGCCGUGAUGAGUCUUGUUUGAACGGUAAAGCCUAUUCUUCUGUGAGUUUUAGAGAGAAAAAAAGAAUACAAACUAAGGAGAACUUUUGUCAAAAAAACUAAGGAGAACCAACAUAAUGCGUAGAUCUUGAACCUUUGAGGAAUUUUCAGUUUUGAGUUUAUAUUGUUAUGAUUAUUAUUAAGGAAUAAUAUUUGAUUUAAUUAGUAUAAUUUAUUCAUGCAUUUUCCUCUGAAUCAGUGUUCAAGAAAGCGAUAAUUAAUGGGCGUUGAUACAACACCUAACAUCUAAAAAGUUUAAUCGGAAGCUUAAAUUAUUACUUAACCGGUAUGAAUGUUUACAAAUUAUAAUAAUAUAUUCAUUCUGUUUUCAAAAGUAAAAUUUUCUAAAAUGUUCACGAUUAUUAAAAAUUCAAUAAAUAUUUAUUAUUUAAUUUUUUUUUACUUUAUUAUACACUUUCCAAUAAUUUUUCACCAAUAAAAUUUAAUCAAUUUAAAUAUUUUUAUUUAAUUUUUCUUAAAAAUAUAAAAAAGUAUUUUAAACAUAUAAAAAAUCUAUUUUUGUGGAACAAGUAAAAAUCUAAAAGGAACGGAAUGAGUACUAAAUAUAACAGUAUAGUAUAAAAAUAUUUGAACGAUGGUCUGAAUAAUACAUUUAUCCCAAAAUAAAUCAUCAUUUCAUUUCUGAAUUCUGUUAUAUGGCUUCAAGAUUCUAAAUAGGAACAUUAAAUUAAGUGUCGUGGAAGUCAUACAUAAGCUCCUACUUUCUCUGUUGUAGCAGUCAAGAAAAUUCAAGUCUCGAUCAAUAUGUGUCAUUAAGUCAAAUUUGUAUGUCUUUUAAAACAAUUAAAACCCUCAAAUCUCUUUAGAUCCAAACGUUCAGUCUAUGUUUUACCAAACGGUCUUUUACCGAAUCAAGAGCCAAAGAAGAAAGCUCUUGAUGUUGAUGAUGUUGAUGAUGAUGAAUGAUUCGGUGACUGUGGGGAUCACUGAAGACAAUGGACAAGACAAGAGGGGGGAGAGAGAGAAAGAGAGUUGAGAAGUGAAAGUGGUCCAUGUUACAAAUGUAGAGUUAGCCAAAGAGAGCUUUCACAUCUCAACACACAGAACCUAAAGCCUUUCCUCAAAAGAUUUCUUCUUUAGUUUCUUUUCAGACUUUUUUGGGGCAUUUCAAAGAGAAUUAUCAAUCAAGCUGUCUACCAAUAUAGUUACUUGUUCAUACUCUACACAUACACCAUGAUCAUUAACUUGAAAGAACAUGACCAUGUUUCUUGCUAGUAGCCUCCAGAGAAUAGAGUUUGAUAGAAGCACAUACACCUUUACAGUAACAAAGGCCUAGAAGAAUCAUAAGUUUUUUUUUUUUUUUUUUUUUUUUGAAGAAUCAUAAGUUAUUAAUCUCAUAUCUCCUUAGAAGAAGCAAUGAUAUCAAUCAUCGUACCUAACAUUGGCCUUUAUGUGUUACUCUAAUCAAAACAUUAAAGACAACCGUAUGCACCUAUGACUUUUGCUUUAGAUAAAAGCUAGAGUUUUCUAGUUUUGGCAUGUCUUCAGUCACCGAUUGCCUCGCACCAUAUUUAGAAGAUAAAAAUCAACAACUAAUGAUAUGCUUGUUUGCAUUAUAAUUACCAACUGGUGCAUAUCAUACCAAAGCUAACCGAUAUAUAAAGGCUAAAAGACAGAUAAUAUCACUUGAUCACCUCUUCUAGGAAAGGAUAUGAAAAGGGUAAUUACCCCACAAACGACAAGUUUAUAUAUUAUUGAGGCUAAAAUGCAGUUUAAUUAGAAGUCUAUUAUAUACAACAACUGUGAUUGAUUAAUAUGUCUUUAAUAUGGUAAGCUUAAUUCUCUAAUUAAUUAUAUCAUAAAAAGUUGUAGCAAUCACGAUUGGUAAUAUCUAACUAACUAGGAUAAGACCCGCGCCUUGCGCGGGAUUAAGUUAUUAUUUUUAUUAUAUUUUGGAGAAUGAAACAAUAGUUUGGCUUCAUUUGGAUUACGGGUGUUCAAUCCGGAUAUCGGGUUGGUUUCGGUUCGGUUCGGUUUUUUUUUGAUAUUUGGUUAGUAAAAUAUUACUACUAUUCUAAAUCCAUAUUUACUUUGACUUUAGUCUUUCACAUACUUUUGAAAGAUUUCAACUGGACGACUAAAUUGAUCAGCCAAUCUUGUUGAUUUAAAUCAUUAGUGUUUAUAUAUAUAUAUAUAUAUAUAUUAUUUAGUUUGAAUAUUUAUUAAAUAAAAAUUCAUAUGCGUUAUAUUUUAUGAUCAUUUGUAACUUAUUAUAACAAAAAAAUAAUCUAUUGAUCACAAAAUUUUCAGAGUGGGAAUAUUCAAAUUUCUAAUAAUAUAUAGACGUUUUGAAAAAUUUAAAUAUAACAUAUAAGAAAAAAUAUAAAUGUUUUUGUUAUAUAUUUAAUGUGAUUUUUUAAUAUCUUUCAAUAAUAUAAAAUUAAAAAAAAAAAAAGAACUAAGAUACCAAAAUUGUUAUCAAAUAUUUAUUAUUCAUAAUAAUUAAUUUUCAUAUAUACGUUAAUCAUAUUAGGUAAUUUCGUAGUUUCUAAUUAAGGAAAGUGCAAAAAAAAAUUUGGUAGAUUAUUUAUCAAUUCGAUAGUUAGUUUAAUAAAAAAUAUAAUGUAAGUCAAGAUGGACCAACCUAGUUUUCUAAGAAUAGUAUAUUUUAUAUAGUCAUUUAUUAAAUGAGAAUUUAUAAUCAUACAGUUCUAUGAUCAUUCAUAUCAUUUUAUAACUGAAUAUUUAAAUCAUUGAUAACAAAAUUUUCAAUGUGAAAUCUUUAAUAAGUUUAUAAUUUAUAAAUGUUUUUGAAAAUUCAUUGAAAGUUUUAAUAUUAAAAUAUUUAUGUAAUCUUAUGGUAUAUAGUAUAAUAUAUAUAUAUAUAUAUAAAUAUAUAUGUUUUACUAUUAAAUGAUAUUUUUUACUCAUAUGGUUUUAAAAUAAUGUGUAUCUUCUUAUAAUAUUAAAUAAAAGUUCAUAUUAAUACAAUUUUAUGAUCAUUUAUAACUUAUUAUGACAAAAAAAAUAAUCUAUUGAUCACAAAAUUUUCAGAGUGGGGAUCUUCAAAUUUCUAAUAAUUUAUAGACGUUUUGAAAAAUUCAAAAUAUAACAUAUAAGAAAAAUUAUAAAUGUUUUUAUUAUAUAUUUAAUGUGAUUUUUAAAUAUAUUUUAAUAAUAUAUAAUUAAAAAAGAACUAAGAUACAAAAAUUGUUAUCAAAUAUUUAUUAUUCAUUAUAAUUAAUUUUCACAUAUACGUUAAUCAUAUUAGGUAUCGUAGCUUUUAUUUAAGGAAAGUGCAAAACAUUUUUUGGUACGCUAUUUAUCAAUUCGAUAGUUAGUUUAAUAAAAAGUGUAAUAUAAGUUAAGAUGGACCAACCUAUUUUUCUAGGAAUAGUAUAUUUUGUAUAGUUAUUUAUUAAAUAAGAAUUUAUAAUCAUAUGGUUCUAUGAUCGUUCAUAUCGUUUUAUAACAAAAUAUUUAAAUCAUCGAUAACAAAAUUUUCAAUCUGAAAUCUUUAAUAAGUUUAUAAUUUAUAAAUGUUCUUGAAAAUUCAUUGAAAGUUUUAAUAUUAAAAUAUUUAUGUAAUCUUAUGGUAUAUAGUGUUUAAUAUAUAUAUAUAUAUUUAUUUUAUUAUUAAAUGAUAUUUUUUACUCAUAUGGUUUUAAAAUCAUGUGUAUCUUCUUAUAAUAAAAAUGUUAAACCAUUGAUCAUUAAUUUUUAACAUAAUAAUUUUAAUAGUUUUAGUCAUUUAUUGUCGUUUUUAAAAAUUCAAAAUAUAACAUAUACGAAAAAAUUUAAAUUUUAUUUUUAUAGCUAAUUUGAUUGUUUAAUUUAUUUUAAUAAUAUAAAAUUAAACAAAAAAUGAUGGAGGAGAUAUACAUUGUUAUCAAAUCUUUAUUAUUAAACUCAUUAAUUGUCAUAUAUAUAUUAGUCAUUUAUGGUAAUUCUGUAGGUUUUAUUUAAGGAAAGAAAAUAUCAUAUCAUAUCAUUAUAUCAUAUAGUUUGACCAACUUAUGUAUCUAACAACAUAUAAAAAUCGAAUGUGGACCUACUUAUUUUUCAAUUGAAUGUAAUUGACUACCUAAUUGAAUGCCACCUAUGCAUUGGGGUCUUUUUUAGUUAAUUCAAAAUUAAGGUUACAUCUUUUCAAAUGUUCCUCAAUUAAUAUAUAAGGGAUUAAGUAAGUUAUACAACCAAUCCUAUAGUCUAUAAACAUAUUGUUGUGAUAACAAAUGACCAAACUCAGCCCGUCAAAAGAUUUUACAGCCAAGUCUUAUGGAUUGUUUUUGAACAAACUGGUUGCAGCAUCACAUGGGGAAAAAGACAGAUAUGCCCUAGUCGAGACAGUUGUUUGGAUAACAAAGCUGCAGAGAGUCUAAACCAGAGAACACAGUACAUCUGAGAAUUACGUGAUGGUUUUAUCAAAUUAUGGAAAUUUAAGGAUAUAUGGUGUCAAAGAGUUAACAUAUCAAGAGCAGCUAGAGAAGGACCCCACCAAAGUUAAUGCAAUGUAGAAGGGAAAGCAUGUGAUGAACAAAAUGAUAAAAGAAGCACAUAAUAAAGACGUGUGAAGAGCAUACACAUACAUUAUGUAAAAACCUUAGGACCACUUUUUCUCUGCUCACUUGUCUCUUUUUUAGAUAUGUAAAAAGGACUAGUGGAAUUUAAGGAACAUCGGCCCACAACCCUAGGAAAGUUGCAACUUGAGGAUGAUGAUAGUUCUAACUGUACACAUCUCAAAACACCCCUUUCAGAAUAGAACUCACAUUCUGAGGAUACACAAACGAUGCAAGCUUCCAAAAUGGUGGCCUUGUUUUGGUAACCAAAGCUAACAUAAAGUUACACCGACCCUAUCUAUCCAGACCAUGUGGUUAGUCCUUUAGACUCUGGUUGCUUAUUACUAUACUAAUUUUCAAAAAUAUGAUGUUAUGUAAGGAUUCAAGGAAAACGUAUUAAAAUUUAUGAAUUUGGAUUAAUAUGUACAAAAUAGCCACUGAGAAGACACUAUUCAUGUAGUUACAUGACUGCUUGUAAAAUGAACCAGGAAGAUAUUGUUAAUAAUCAUUGUAAUAGUUACAUUAUAUGACUUGAUAAGCUGCUCAGCCAGGCUAGUAGAAUAGAUUCUUGUUUAUCUGUGCUGAUUUCAUUUUACCUAUUCUUUCAGAGUUCGAGAGAGGUAAUAUUCUUCGAUAUGGCGGGUGAGCAUAGAGAUCCCAUAAUGUGAAGCACUUGAAGAUGCAUAAUACGAGGUAACUGUCAGCUGAUCGAAUAUUGUUACAAGAUCAAAAACUUCAGGUGCUUUCUUGAAAGAAAACAUACAGAUGCAUAUACAUAAUACAUGAGAACUCAUGGACAUAACACUUCUUUGGGGUAAAUAUAAAACAGAGAACUCCAACAGCUAAUUAUAAUCACACAGGUUCAAACACACAGCCCUUUCACAAUAUUUCAGGACAAUGGGGCAUGCAUUUAAUCACUAACGCAGGAUAUAUUGAUAAUGCACAUUUAGGCACAAAGUGAAGCAAGUCACCAAAGAAGAUCAUGUUACCUCCAAAGGCAGCCCCUACACCUGAAUAUCCUAACAGCAAUGGAACCUACAAGUAAAAGCUAUAAGUGAGAAGCAAAAGAACAAUCAUAUGAAGAAGUACAGAACUAGGAGACAAGGCAAGAGCAAAUGCAUACCCCCACAAGAAAGGAGAGCCGCUUUGGCCCAGGAAACCGAUUUUGAAGAUAGGGUAUCCCUGAAAGACAAAAGAAACGAGAUCCAUGACAUUGUAGAAAUGAUUUGAUAACAAGGGAAUCAUGUGAUACCUGUAUUGAAAGCAUGGACGGCACUAAGCAAGCCACCAAUACCAGAACCAGCCUAUUGCACAUUGGAUAACCUAGUUAGAAACAUAGUAGCUCUACAUGCACAACAAUCAAAUAAAUUCGAUUUCCACGUUGUCAAAAAAAGCUGAUACAUGUCACGGUAGUACCAAACCAAAACAUUACUAAAGGAAAACUCAAAACCAAACCAAAACUGACCACAGCAGCAGCAUCAUGCAGAACCGAAGUGAUCACUCUCCUUCUCCUGAUGACAAGAACAAAAGAAACUGUUUUUAUUUUUUCAGACACCAUCAUAACUAAAAAAGAACACUGAAACAAACUUUGACAGCUCACUGGAUUAGGGUUUAAGAGGGAAAGGCAACGAGGACACCGAGCAGAACCAAGACCAGGGUUCAUUGUCGGAUCAUAAUCAAGAUUCCCACGCCUCAGCUUCUCUUCGUAUACUUCUCUCGUUCCCAUCUCUCUCAAUCGCCGAUCACCUGCUCUCUUCCCUGAACAUGCUCCACCGUCGCUACACCAUCAAUGGGCCUUAUGGGCUUCGUUAUCUCGGCCCAAAGAUAAACUCUACUGAACACACUCAGAAGAUAGAAAAGAUCAUAAAGGCUGGAUAAGUAUCCGAGUCCUCGAGGGUUUUGGUUUCAAUGAGCUCAGAAAAGAGAAACAGAGUACAUCGUUUUUUAAUUUGUAUCUGGCAGCUAAUUUAAUAUUUCAUGCUGGCUUCUUACAACCAAAACGAGAGAGAUUGCUUUAAACCAAUGAAAAUUAUAAGUUACAUUCGAUUUAAGUAACAACAUCUUACAACCAACAAUCAUUUUUGUUUGAACAAAAUAAGGCAUAGCAACAACAACAACAAGAGAAAUGGUGAAUUGAUUAAUUUAGGAAGUAGACUCAGGACCGGCUGGUUUAGAGUUGAGAAGAGGCUGAAGUGCCUUGACAACGAUUGUCAUGUUUGGUCUGAAGUCUGCUUCGUACUGUACACACAAGGCCGCCACGGCUGCUAACUGUCCGACCACACAAAAAUGAAAAGUCAACAUUACAAAACUAAACCAAAUCAAACAUCCUUAUAGUCAUCAACUUAGAAUUGAUGACUCUAGCUAGUAUUCAAUAUGAGUCAUGAAAGAAAUGUUUCUAAUUGCAUUCACACACUCAAACAUAUUUGAUUCUUAAUUUACGCAAAUUUUCCGUCUAAGCGGCAAACCGAUUAUAAACGAAACGCUUUUUUUUUUAAAUAAUAUCAAAAUAUCUUUUUAUUGUUUGAAAAAGAAAAUGUAGAACGGACCUUGGCGACUGCUUUGGGAGGGAAGUCAUUAUUAAGCUUAGGAUCUAUGCAUUGUUUAACUUUGUCUUCACUUAGUCUCGGAGUUGCCUGCCCAUAGCAAGACAAAAGUAAAAGAGUUUAUUAUUAACAAUGAUAGCUAUGGAUCUCUUUUGAGCAUAUAUACUUGGACAAUGUGUAGUUUACACACCCAAGUAACAAGACUUUGUUGGCCUUUAGGCAUGGUAUGAUCUACAGGUUUUCUUCCCGUCAAGAGUUCCAAAAGCACAACACCAAAACUAUACACAUCACUCUUCUGUGUUAUCUGCCCCGUCAUAGCAUACCUGAAAACAAGAAUACUCUUUACGGUAUCAAAAACAUUCUGAGUGCUAAAAAUGCAUGCAAAUACUUUUUUUUUUACAAGUUCUCUAAGAUUUGGUUCGUUUAAUAUAUUUGUUAUUAUAUGCGAUGAUAUAAAGAUAUGGAUUAAUGGGUUUAUGGUACAAUACUCUGGAGCGUGAUAGCCGAACGUUCCCAAGACACGAGUGGAGUGAAGCCUAGCCGCCGUAUCGGAGGAUGCGUUGGUCAAGUUGAAAUCAGCCAUUUUGGCCACAAAGUCAUUAAACAACAAUACAUUGCUCGACCUUACGUCCCUGUGGACUAUUGGUGGCUGGACCUUCUCGUGAAGGAACUCCAUCCCCUUGGCUGCUCCGUAAGCGAUCUUGACCCUUUGGUUCCAGUUCAGCACCGGCCCUGGCUCAGCCCCUUGAACGCCCUUUCUCCCUAAGUAUUCGAUCCAUGUAUAUAUAUUCUCACAUAUAUAGAUAUAAUAACAUGAACUAAAAUAUUAGUAGUGAGAGUUGAAUCUACCGUGUAACACAUCGUGUAAAGAACCUUUGGUUGCGAACUCGUAGAUGAGAAUACGGUUAUUUGCUUCUAAGCAGUACCCCAUCAACUCCACAAAAUGUUCGUUUUUGAGCCGUGAUACAACCGAUAACUUGCCAUUUUACAAUUAAUAAAAAUUACUUAUUAGGUUAUAAAUACCAUUAUAUAUUUUGACCUAAUCAGAGAUAGAUGAUCGAUGUUUGAGCUAAAGGAUCAUCAGUUUUUGUGAUAUUUAAUGUGUACCUGUGAGGUGAAAUCUGAGUCAGGUUCUUCAGAAGAGCUAGCGUCAAGCUUCUUGAUAGCAACAUCAUCUCCAUUAUACUUGCCUUGGAAGACACGUCCAUAAGAACCUUCACCGAUCAGUGCCUUGUUGCCAAAGUUACUCGUCAUUCUAUUCAACUCAUCCAGUGCAACAGCAGGGAUCUCUAUGGGUAAAACCUUUGCAGGACCUCCUGAUCUCGGUGCGUUCGUGUUCCUCGGCUCUCCUCUAUUUCCACCUAUUCACAAAACGCAAAACGCUGGUGGUGAAACUCAGAACAUAGAAGACAUAAAACUCAUAAAAAAAUUAGGGAUAUUACCGCCAAAGUUAGGGUUUCCGGCCUUGUUAGGAGGGGCUGAAUUAUACUGGUUUGCGGGCGGACCGGCGGGUUCCUCAUCGGCACCUCCGCAACAGAACAUGUUUUUCAGAUGUUGUGCUUUUGUCUUAUUCUUGUGUUUUGGUUCUGUUUUUGUCAAUAUCUGUGUUUACCUGUUAAUAACAUCUGAAAAUGUGUUAUUAAUUACGAAUAUAUUUCCUAUGUUUAUGAAUUUAAAUUCAUUUAUUACGCAUCAUAUUGAAGAAGAUGGAAGAGAUUAGUGAUUGUUACCUCGAUUCUGCCAUUAAAUCAACCUUAAGACAAUGAUGAUGUUGAUGAUGAUAAGAUGAAUACUUCAGAACGUGAGAAAGGAUCUGUUUCUAGGACGUUUGAAUAAAAACUAUGUGUGAUUUCUGGGGAAGAAAUUGGUUAGAAUAAAAAAAAGAAAGAACAAAUUUUAUUUGGAGAAAUUUUGUAAGUCUCUCUGUUCAGCGAUAAAGUAGGGAGAUAAAAAGACACAUUUGCUUAUUAAUAUUGUUAUUAAAAUGAAUUUUAGUAUAACCAACUUAGGAUAAUUUUAUGUUGCAUCCACGUCUUGCACGUCCUCUCCGGACCAUACUACUAAAGUUAUCUUUGUAAUCAUUUGGUUAUACUCAUAAUUUAUCAUUUUGGUACUUAAAAUGUUUUCUUGGCAAAUGAAAAAAUCUAUAUCAAAUCCAGCAACAUUCAAAUGAAGUCACGUUUACUGUAAGAUUAUAUUUCCUUGUAAGAUGAUGAGGAAGAGUUAUUAUGGAUCAUACUGUAUGAUAAAAGUAAGACAAAAUCAACUUUUGAUACAAGAACACAACCAAAACUAAAGCUUGUCUGUCUCUCUCGUUGUUUUUUUUUCCCAACAAAUCAGGAAAAUUACAAGACAAGAGUAUGUAAUAUUGCAAAACAACAGAAGAUUGCAACCUAUUAAUGGUGAAAGAAGCUCUCAAGACUCUGCUAUGUCCUAUGUACAUCAUCCGUUUCAGCUCCAAUCAAAAUCAUCAUCAGAGAGCUAUUCUUCUUUCCAAAUCCUCCCAGUAACUCGCAGCUUAAGCUCUUCUUUAUCACUACCGGAAAAAUACAAAGCCAUGUUUCUAGGGAUGAUCAGUCCGUCCUGACUAUCACGGACUUUCCUGUGACUGUCUCUGAUACUUCUAGGAAUGCCUUGCCAAGUCAGUUUACAGCUGUGAGCUCCAACUUCCAAACUGUAACUAAACUUCUUAGCCUCCUUCUCGUCUCCCAUGAAACGCAGAAAGGCCAUGUACACUGGUGCCGUCCCAAGCUGAAACGCCUCAAAGUGUAAGCAGAACUGUCUUCCAAAACAGUUGAACACCUUAAAAAAGACGUCAGACAAAACAAGAUUCAAGUCAAGUAGUGUAAACACAAGUUCUUUAUCUGGACCAGUGUUCUAAAAAUCGGUCUAGACAGCAACUAGUAGGCAAAUCGGACCUAAACUAAACAAUUUUUCCAGAAUGAUUUUUUAAAAAUCGGUCUAUACAACUACUAGGCAAAUCGGACCUAAACCAAACAAUUUUUCAACAAAGAUUUAUUAAAAAAAUCGGUUUAGACACUAAAAAAAAAUCGAUCUUAGCGUCCGCCUAAUCAAUAAUCUUAUAUAAAGAGCCUAACCACCGCCUAUCAAUUUCUUGAACACUAAUAUGCACUAAACGCAAGUUCAUGGGAUUACCGUAAGCAUCCACGUAGCAUUCUCAACCUCGAGUGGAUUUGACUUGACAUAACGGUGGUUGAAGGUGCAACCAUCAUGCAUAUCGACUUUAUGAUCAUCUUUGAGAUGGUCAACAAGAGUUUGAAUAUCACCGGCCACCGAACACUCAGAGCCAGCGUAAGGACAGUUGUAAGAUCGAAACCUGCAGUGCUGCUCGUGCUUGAGCUUGCUGUAGUACGGGAAAAUGUCGUGACACCCUAGACUUUGGUACCGGCACGGAACUUCUAACGAUUCCGCAACUUUCUCGAGCGCCAAGCAUCUUAUGUUGCCGAGCUCGUAGCGGCAUGUAGGGCAUGUGUUGUGCACUCUCAGUUUGCAGUUUGAACAUAAUGUGUGGCCGUUAGGGCACUGCAUGGAAGUAACACAUGUUAGAUGUCAACAUCAAAGAAGAAUUAAAGAAGAAUAUUAGUGACAACAACAUACCUGAUAAAUUGGAGGAUACAUAAGAUUUGUACAAACUAGGCAAUCGAGGAGCUCAUAGACACCAUUGCUUGAAUGGAUUCCAUAUCUUGCUGGUUUGUUAUUAGCCUCCACUUUAGACAUCUUAACCUCAUAAUCUAAGCCUGUUGAGUUGGAUUCUUUGAAAGCAUUGCCACCAGGAGGAGCCAUAGAGAGUCUGAAAAACCUAACCAAAACUUUGUUUAUUUCUAUUAGCAAUCCCCUUGUGCCCUCAUCUCUUGUGACAAGAUGAUACACUCUUUAGGAUCUUUGUGUCUUCUGCAGUAAAAGAAACAAUGGCCAACAGCUUAGCACCAAAAACCUCUAGAAACUGAAAUGUGAAUGUUAUCAUAGGUAAGUAGGUAACAUGUUGUUGUUCAAAAAAUUGAGGAAGAGUAGGUUAUGAGGAGGUACUAGGUAGAUAUACUUGGUUGUUCACAUAAUCUCUUAACAGUACUACUACACAAUAUUAUUACAAAUCAAGUCUCAGUCCAACCUUAUAAAACUUGGUAGCCACUUACUUGGUUUGAGAGAGAAAAAGGUUAAAGCCUUUGGGAACUAUUGUCACUAUAAAGCUCAUUCCUAGUCAGCUGAAAAUUGCCAACAUCAUUGUUUCCUCAGCUCCAGGUCUCUUGAUUCUUCUAAAUCCUUUCAAAAUGAAUUAAAAAAAAAAAAACAGAAUGGGAUCAAGUUAGAGUUUGAUUAAAAGAGAAUCAUCAUGUUAUGAACAAUGUGAUAUGAAAGCUUAGAAAUUACAAUAGAUUUUAACAAUAGCUAUCACAUGGAGGCAGGACAAAAAGAAAAAAAAACAAAGACUUGAAUUUCUCCUUGCUGAUAUUUUCUAGAUUCAGACAAAGACCAGAUAAAAAAUUUACCCUAUGGAGAAAAUGUCCAGGCGUGGCGGUGGCGUUCAGUAAUGGAGGACUUUGUUUUCAGAUUCAAAAUGAGGAGAUUGAAGAAGAAGAAGGUGUGAAACGAGGAAGAAUAAGAAGAGACGCGGAUUAGACAAGCUACGCAAUUAAAAACGGCAAGAGCAGGAGACAGAGCAGGAGAUAGUUUGUGUCCUGUCCUGUCCUGUCUUGUUGUUUGGCUCGAUGAUGAAACGCCAUUUAAUGGUUUCGCUCUGUUUUACUUUUAUCGCUUUAUUAUUACACUGUUUUAAAAAAAAAGUAAAAAUUACAAAAACAGUCGUCGCCUGAGAGAUUCGAACUCUCGCGGGGAAACCCCAUGUACUUAGCAGGCACACGCCUUAACCACUCGGCCAAAGCGACUUGUUGUUCACUCGACAAAUUUAAUUUUUAUAUAGGAUAAUUAUCACUGACAGUAACAACAAAGAAGUCACAACAACCUAGUUUCUUUCAUGUUCGAUUCACCAGAUAGAAUUGACUUUAUAAGCAGCUGAGCAUAAGAUGUCACGUAAAACAGCUUAACCAACGACUAAUUAAGUAAUGUGACUAAAAAUAACAAAACAGUUUAUGAAAACAUAUGAGGUUAUUCAGACCAAAUAUAUCUUUGAGAAAUUCAUCUAUGGCGCCAAAAAGUAUUCAAAUGAACGAGGUUCACGUUAAGACUCAAGCAGGUUCUUUUCUUAUCAUACACGUACAAUAACAAUGAAAAAUAACUAAUAGAACAAUUUUGGCCUAAUGUGACAUGAUUGACAGCCCAUUCCCACCUAUUUCAAUUAGGGAUGCAAGUACAACAACACUGUCGUUCAUCUCUUUUCUUUUCUUAUUAUUGUUCAUUUUUGUAAAAUACUAAACUUACAUAAUACGAUAUCACCCCCCACUGAUAAACAAACGUUAACAGGUUUCACAUAACAAAACAUAAUAUGUUUUUAGUCUAUAUAUGGGGACACAUGUAUUAUUGGACCAUGACGUAAGCAUACAUUAUGAUUUAGUUGUUGUCGCUCGAUCUAUCUUUUUUCGAGAAUAUUAUCACCCCCCUUGUUAGCUCGAUGAAAGUAUGAAUAGGCCGAGUUAGCUCGUAAAUACUCUCCCUCCUUGCACUUGCUAGAGAGGAUGGGGAAAAUAUAAAACAAAAAAAGUUAGGGGUGACAAAUAGUAUAAAACGAAAGUUAAGGGGUCGUUAUGAGAGAUAUAAAAAGAGGGACCCACACAAGAAAGCCUAAGGAUAAAACUUCUCUCCCCCACCCACUCCCUCUCGUCCAAGCUGGCAUCGAUGAUAAAGAGAGAAAGAAAGCCACCGAUUACCUCCUCUCCCGGUUCCCCGCACGUGCGCCACCCACUAUCCACGUGCCUCUCCUCACUCCCACAACGCCAAAAAACAUACCUCAGUUUUGACAAUUCACCCAAUUUUUUUUCGAGAAAUCUACAUGUGAAUGGCAUUAAUAUUCAAUGUUAUAUAGGAGUAGUUGACAAUAAUAAGAAGCAUAUAAACUAUACAGUAUAUAAAGAGAUAGUCUCCCAAGUCUCAAUUACUACUUAACUUGCUUUUCGGGUGCAACAACAAUUAAAAAAGCGAGUGCGAGUGAGAGAGAGAAGAGGCCAUUACACAACACAACACCACAAAGCCUUCUCCUUUUUUUUCUUUUUUAUCUUUAGUUUCCAAGUCCGUGUAAUAAAAAUAAAAAAAAAGGGUUACUCUCUUUAUAUUUAAGUUCUUCUUUGGUGCAAACAAAAAGUUACGAAUCUUUUUUUCGUAUACAACGAUGAGGAUCCGGAAACGACAAGUGCCUCUCCCUCUUUCGUCUCUCUUACCUGUUCCUCUCUCAGAUCUCUACUCUAACCGGUCUCCGACGUCCGCCGCUCGAUACUUCCACGGCCAAGACAUAGACGGAGGCAGUUCUGCUUCUCUUCUUCAUCUUCCGCUGAUUCAAAGAGAUGUGACGAGCAAGAAGGAGGAGAAAGCUUUGGUGAGUUCUUCUUGUAUACGCUGAGCGUGAAUUAUUAUAUGAUUCUAGUUGUAUUUAUUUAUAAUCGACCGAUAAAAAUAUCUGAUUAUUGGGUGCAGUUUGUGUUUUGUUUAUAAUUGGGUUUUACAGUACUCUUCAUUUUCAAAAUCUUAAUUCGAAGGAUCUCAUGUUCAAUUGCUCUUUUUGUUUUUCUAAAAGGAUGAUGAUAAUGGAGAUGGAGAUGAUGUAGACGUGAAGAGCUGUACAGUUGCAUCGGGCAGGUAAGUGAAUUCUUGAACUGUAUUGUAACUCUCUUGUUCUAACACUUCCAUGUUUAUAACUUUCUGGUGUAAUAAUAAUUGGGAAAAUAAUUUAACUAAAACAUACAACGUUUUUUUUUUUUUCGGUUUUGUAAAAGUUCCAAGCUUCAAAAAUACCCAACACAGAAAUAUGAUCUCAAAAUUAAAACUUUCAUGGUCUUUUAAACAAGAUUUUUUUUGUUAUAUGGCAAUAACGUUUUGCAGAGGCAAUGAUAGUAGAUUCAUUUUCUUUAUUAUGGUUUUAUAGUACCGUGACUGUCGUCAUUCUUCUCACACCUUUAACAUUUUGGGAAAACAAGAGUAGUUACUAGUUAGUAUUAGCGAUAAUGAGUAGGAAACUCAAUAGUACUUCUAAACAUGCACACCUCAUGAUGGUGCACGUAAGCGUGGGAUGCUCUUUAUACCAAUGGUCGCUCUAGCGCUAUUAUUAUCGUCUUUCUUGCAUUCAUAGAUCGUUUUCAUCUCUUUACAUUAAGUCUUUCUUGCUUCAAACUAUCGCAGCAAUAACGUUAAUUCUCAAGGAGAAUCCGACUCUUCAACACAAGGUACACACUUAGAGCUACGUUUAAUUGGUGGCUUUAUGUUAUUUUUGUUGCACCAUUCACCAUUUCUAUGUGUUAUAUGAUAGCUGUCGAGAAGAAUGAAAACGUUGUUACUUUGAGGAAGAGAAGAAGCUAUACAAGCUUCGAGGAACAAGAAGAGGAAGAGGAUGAGGAAGAAGAAGAAGAAGCUAAUAAAGGGAAGAAGAAAAGGAAAGGGAAGAAAAAGAGCAGUGAUGUGUUAGAGGAAGGAUCAAGGUGCAGCCGAGUUAACGGUAGAGGAUGGAGAUGUUGUCAGCAAACUCUUUACGGCUAUUCUCUUUGUGAGCAUCAUCUUGGCAAAGGAAGGGUAAGGAGCACGAACAAGAGUUCCGGUGGUCGCGGCGGCGGCCAGAAAAAGUCGGUGGUGGCCGUGGAAGUGAAGAAGAAGAAGAAGAGAGUGAAGCUUGGGAUGGUAAAGGCGCGUUCCAUAAAUAGUUUGCUCGGACAAACCAGCACAAGUAGUGGAGUGAGUGAGAUAAGUGCACCUGCUGAUCAGUUUGCUGCUAAUGAUAAGUAAGUCAUAUGUAUAUGUUUAGGUACAUAUGAUGAUAAUGGACAUAGCUCUAUGUAUCGGGUGUGUAGAUUGAAUGAUUGAUCGAGACCUUAAUGGCGCUUCUUCUUGAUCAUCCUAUGUAUAUAUUUUUGGUGGAUAUUUAUUUCAGUUUCAACGAUACAUUGGUUGCUCAGGGUCAUAAACUCAUAAUCAAAACAUUUUUGUUGUUAUAAAAAAAUCGUUAAGUAAUGAUGAAAACAUAUAUAAUUUAUAAUUAAUCCACCCUCCAGUGUCUUAGUUUACUGUAGCUUUUUGAUUAAAGAUUCAUAAGCCACAUUGCAGAACUUGAAUUUAGCUUCAGCCUCAGCCUGUUUAUAUACAUUCAAGAGUUAUAACGCAAAUAUAUAAAAACACUUACAAUGAAGAUUGAAAAAGAUUCUUAUUGGUUUUUACGUACCUUGGUAGAGUCAUCAUGAUGAUCAGGAUACCACUUUAAUGCACAAGCUCGAUAUCUAAUCCCAAAACAAAGGGAAAGCAAGUUAAACAUGAUGAUCAUGAGGAGUUAUAGAUGAAUUUGUUAUCAUGAUAAAGUUUAAUAGAAAAACUCACGCAUGUUUGACAUCUUCAAGUUUUAAGGGAGCCCAAGGACUCAGACCAAGUGUUUCUCUGUGAGAAGCUUCUAUUGGGUCAGACAGUACUGAACCAAAUUGAAAGUUUGAUCUCUACGAGUUUGUAUAAAAAAAAAGAAUAUUGCACCUUGUGAUUCAACAAAGCUACAAGUUGUGACAUUUUUAAAAGGGACAACCACUUACUUUCACGUGUAUUUAGGUUUUCUUUUGCCUUUUUAGCAGCGGCCUAAUUAAUGUGUAAUUACACCAAGAGCGUUAAAAACAGUUAACUCAUGGACAAGAGACAUUAUACACUAGAGCUAAAACGUUUUGUUUGUGUUUUGGUAAGUUAUAUAUAAGUCUCAUGUACCUCUUCUCUUUCACGUCUAAGUUCUUCCACAGCACGAUGUACUUUUUCUUGAUGCUCCCUCAACAACUUCUUAACAUUUGAUUUCUGCAAAAAAAAAUUAAGCAGCAGUACAUUCAGGGCCGGCUCAAUAGUGUUAGGGGCCCUGGGGCGAAAUAUUUAUUUUUUACCCUCUAAAAUUUAUAUGUAGAUAAUGUUUAAAAUAAUUUUAAAAUUUAAUCAGUAAUAUUUUGUAAUGAAAAUAAAAUUAUCUACAUAUCAAAUAAUUUGGGCCCUUUUUAAUUUUAUUUAUUACAUUUAUAAUUUUUUAUAUAUCAAAAUAUAGAUUUAUAAAAAAUUGGGCCCCUUAAUUAGUAUUAUACGGGGGGACACGGGCUUGGGCCCGGGGCGGUCGCACCGCUUGUCCCCCCUAAUAAGCCGGCACUGAGUACAUUUCUAAAACACUAUCUCAAAAAUCAAGAAGAAGUAGACAAAUGCAUAUCAAUUAAUCACCAAAACAUACUUUUCCUUGAUGCUCCCUCAAAAACUUUUUUGAUCUCUUGUUCUUCUUAGCCUUUGAUUUCUGCUUGAAAAGUUUUUUAAAAACACACAAUAAUAAUCAGAAUUCAGAAGCUGUAUAUUCAGGAACACCUGUUAAAAAUCUACUGAGAGUGAGAUAAUUGCACCUCCUGAUCAGUUUGCUGCUUAUGAUAAGUAACUCUGUCGAUCAGCCUUGGCAGUUGAUGCAAACUUUGAUUCAAUCUUUCACUUUGACAGGUUAAGUCACAGAAGCAGACGUAAGAGAUACCAAUAUACAUUUGAUGCAAAGUUUAGAGAGAACACAAUAUUUCGAUUCAAGAGAUUGAGAGGACAAUACAUAGCAGUGCUUGGAUGAUGUAUAGUAUACUGGUUGGUCAAGGUCAUAAACUCAUAAUCAAAACAUUUUUUUUUGUUAUAAAAAAUCUCCAUGUAAUUAUAAAAACAUACAUCACUUUUAAUUAAUCCACCAUCUUUGCAUUCUUCAAGUAAUCUUAGCUGACUGUAGCUUUUGGGUUAAAGAUUGAUAAGCCACAACGCAGAGCUUGAAUUUUGCUUCAGCCUCAGCCUGUUAAUAGUUUCAAAAAUUAACACAAAGAGAAAAAGAACACUUACAAUGAAGAUUGAAAAAUAUUCUUAUUGUUUUUUUACGUACCUUGGUAGAGUCAUCAUGAAGAUCAGGAUGCCAUUUUAAUGCACAAGUUCGAUAUCUAAUCCCAAAAUAAAAGGAAGCAAAAAAAGUUAAACAUGAUCAUGACGAGUUAUAGAUGAAUGCAUGUGUUAUGUCAUGAUGAAGAUUAAUAAACAAAAACUCACGCAUGUUUGACAUCUUCAAUUUUCAAGGGAGCCCAAGGACUCAGUCCAAGUGUUUCUCUAUGAGUAGCUUCUAUUGGGUCAGACAGUACUGAGGACUUUGAUGAACCAUAGCCAUCUUCUUCCUCUUUUUUCUUUUCAUCAAAUCGAGAUUUUGAUCUCCACCAGUUACUAGAACUGUUGCUUUCUUCUUCUUCAUCUUCGCUUAGUUCUUCUUCUUGCUCUUCUUCUUUGUCAUAAAAUCGAUAUUUUGAUCUCCAAGAGUUGCUAGAGGAACCAGAAAACCAUGAAGGGUGAUACCACCAACGACGGUCCUCCUCUUCAUAGAUUGAAUAAUCAAAACCUCGUGGUACACCGAAUAAAGAUCGGAAUAUAAUAUCAAAGUCUUUAUCCGCGUAACCAAAUUGACCUUCAAAAAUGUAAUACAUGUUUCUUAAUACCACUAUGUAUCAAAAAUGCGACAUGUUUAAUUAAAAGGGAUAACCACUUACUUUUACGUGGACUCUUGGAGUCUUGGUUGCAUUUAUUCAUGUUUUCUUUGGCUUCUUUGGCCUUUUUAGCAGCAGCCUAAUGUUUAAUUACACAAAGAACGCUAAAAACGUUUUGUUUGUGUUUUGAUAAGUUUUAAUUUGUCUCAUUUUUUUUUGCCAAAAUGUGGAUAGUUUUAAUUUGUCUCAUUACCUCUUCUCUUUCACGUUUAAGUUCUUCCACGGCACGACGUACUUUUUCUUGAUGCUCCCUCAAAAACUUUUUGGAUCUCUUGUUCUUAUUAGCAUUUGAUUUCUGCUAGAAAUUCAAAACCAAAAAAAAAAAAAUUAAUCUAACAAUUCUUUUUUUCUAAAACACUAGCUUUGAACAUUAAAGAAUACACAGUAAAUCUAGAAGCAAUUGACAAAAUAUUAAUCUUAUUAGAUAUACCCACGUACGGAACUAGAAGAAGAGGAACCACGUUUGCGUUCCAAGACGGGAGUUGAAUGGAAAAACGCAGUUUUCAGGAGAGAACAAUAGCUUUGCGGUCUGGAAAUCGCUGCUUUAGCGGCAGCGUUCAUCUCUCUCUCUCUCUUUCUCUCUCUAUCAAAUAUUAGUACACAACAUUGUGACUUGAUCGAAUUAUGUUCGACUCAGAAAUAUUUUUUUUUUUCAGAGAAGCAAGAAAAAAAAUAGUUUAUUUUCCAUUUUGUCUUUUAGGUAAAAUAAAAACAGAGAAUGGAAUGUUCACUCAAAAAGUUUUUUUUUUUGCUUGAGCACCAAGAACUUUCCAUAAAUGAUAAUCAACAUGUUGGGCCGCUGUAAUUGGGCUAAUGGGCCGUUGCAGUAGUGACCUUUUAAUAAUAAAAAUGAACAGAACAAAGGUUUUGCUCUGAGAUGAGCUCUAAAAUGAAGCAACUUGAAAACAUUAAUGUAAGUAAUCAAACACUAUCUAAGCUCUUUUAAUCUUAGUUCAGUGAUAGCUUUUCGCAUAAAGAUUGAUAAGCCACACUGCAUAGCUUGAACUUUGCUUCAGCCGCUUCCUGUUUCAAUACAAUCUCACACACAUAAGAGAAUGAAGAUUUCAAAUGAAAGAGAUCUAAUUGAUUUAUACCUUGGUGGAGCCUUGAUGACGAUCCGGAUGCCAUUUUAAUGCACAAACUCGAUAUCUGAGAUAUAACCAAAACAUAAGUUUCAUGUAAAAGUAAUGAGACGAUGAAGUGAAGUGAAGUAACUCACGCAUGUUUGACGUCUUUGAGGUUUAAAGGACCCGAAGGACUAAGACCAAGUGCUUGUCUAUGAGAAGCUUGGUUUGGUUCUGACUCACUCUCAGAGUCACUUGACUCUGUUGAAGUUGUAUAGUCAUCAUCUUCAUCUUCGUAUAUUCGAUGAUGUUUCGACCUUGAUGAUGAGUGGUUCCGCUGAUGCCAUCGAGGAGGUUCAUCGUCUUCAAAGGUGAAUGAGAAAGAGAAACCUCGUGGUCCACCAGGGAAGAUAUAAUCAAUGUCAAAGUCCUCAUCCACUUCGCAAAAAUCAAAGUUCCCUACACAGUAAUAAUAAAAAUAGCUUUUUAAUAAGAGUAUGUAGAUGAAGAAGCUAAAGACAUUUCACUUACUGGGACCGUGUUUGCCGUUCCAUUUCCCUUUAGGUUCCUUGGCGUAUUGUUUUUUAAACCACGAGGUUCGCUUCUGUGAGGAAGGAGGCUCUUUGUAAUCAAACUCAUCAUGCCAGCUCUGGAAUCAAAAACGUCAAAGUUACUUAAACAAACCGAACAGCGAACACAUGAUAGCAGAGAGAGAUUAGUUCAUAGUACCGUAAACAUGUUUGAUGCGAAGGCAUUCACAUUACGCAGCAACUCUUGCUUCUCUCUCAUUCUUCUGAACCUCUUCCUGUGAACAUUUGAUUUCUACAGAUAAAUUAAAUAAAACAGAACAUCAGAAGAUAAAUUAGAUCCCAUCCCACAUGUUCAAACAUUAACAUUAGUUUAAAAAUUGGUCGGAACUUAGACAAGUAAAAACAUCUCAAAGUCUCAGACUUUUAAUUUUAUCAGACAAAAGAUAAAAAGAAAAAAGCUAAAACCGAACAUCAGAAGAUAAUUAGAUACCCCACAUGUUCAAACAUUAACACUAGUUAAAAAUUGGUCGGAACUUAGACAAGUAAAAACAUCUCAAAGUCUCAAGACUUUCAAUUUAUCAAACAAAAGCUAAAAAGACAAACUAAGAACAUGGCAAUAGAUCCACAUCAGCUAUAUACAUAAACCCAAAUCAAAUGGUCGGAACUCAGACAAGUAAAAACAUCUCAAAGUCUCAGACUUUCAACCAAUCAAAACGAAAGCUAAGAACAUGGUCAUUUCAUCGAUCCAUAUCAGCUAUGUAAAAUGCCAAAGCACGAAACUUUAGCUUGUGGGUUCAACGAAAAAUCAAAUUUUGAAGGAGAAAGAGAAAGAGAGAGAGACUAAACCGAAUCCCAGGAAGUGCGACGUUUGCGUUCCAAGACGGGUGUGGAAUGAAAGAACGAUGCUUUAAGGUGAGAGGAUACGCUCUGUGUUCUGAGAAUCGCAGCUCUAACGGCGGCGUUCAUCUCCGGGAGGUAAGAGAUUGCGUAUUGAGAAGGAAGGGAAGAAGAAAACUAAAAAAGCCGAUGAGGUAGACUCGGUCUUUGACUCGGUGUGUGGACUCGUGAUAAGGGCAUAUACUUCGCUGGCAAAAAGCAUUUUCCGCCAGUAAAAAGGAAUUUAGAGGAGGAAGGAAAUUACAUUUUUACCUUUUUUUUACUGUUUAUUUUUUCUCUGCCUCACGAGUAAAAGUUAAAUGUCACCGUAAAAAUGGGUGAAACCACUUGGAAAUUAGAAUGUAUUGAGGAUAUUAAUCUGCAAUUGAAUUUUUAAUGAUUAGAUAAAUUUUAUAUAUUUUUACGACAAGAUACAAAUUAUGUAAAUGAAUUUUCAGAGAGUUAUAUAUUUUUCGAUGGGAUUUGAACAAGUAAUUCAUUUUAUUCUUAUUCAUUUCAGUAAACCAGUUUUCGUUGGUGAACGGAUGAUUAUUUGAGUUGUGUAUACAGUAUACUAUACUUGUUCAAAAUGCAUUCCGAUAUGUCAUGUGUUUCUUUCUGGUUAUUGAUAGCUUCUAUAAAGCAUCUAAUUGAACGGGUAAAUAUAAAUUGAUUUUGUUUAAGUUUAAUGUGAGUGUUGGGGUUGUUAAUUGUAAGGAUGUAAAGUUACUUCUAUGUGGAUAAGGUUGAGUAUGAAGAAAGUGGAGCGAGGAUUGUUCACCUCAAAUGCUUCUAAAUGGAUUAUAGUUGUAGUGAUCGAUGAGCGUUAUUUUGUUUGCUUUUUGAGGGAUUUCAUAUAUCUCAUUUCUUUGUUUUUAUAAAGUUUAUACUUUAAUUAAUUUAUCAUACUGCAAAUGAUUUUUCAUCAAAUACUAUGAAUGAUCAUCUUUACUCUUCAGUCUCCACAUAAUACAAAUUAAAAACCAUUCUAUGAAUUUGACAACACAAGUUCGUUUGGUUUGUUUUUUUUUGGUAAAAUGUUAAGUUUACCAUUUUCUGAAGAAAUUACAAUGUUGUUGUUAAACAACUUAUUACAGAGAUAAAGAAACAGACAACAACCCAACUUAAACAACUUCGUUUGGUUUGUUUAUUACGUUACAAUCAUGAAUUCGUGAUAGUUAUUGCAACACUAUAGGGUAUCAUUUACUUACAUCAUAACUUCUAUUCUCCAACAUUUAGAACAUGUUUUCUCACACAAAAAAUUAGAACAUGCCUAUGGAUAUAUCUAAUAGAUUAUUUAUUAGAACAUAUAUCCACAACUAUAAGUUUUAUCACUACUUAGAGUUUUUAUUUGGGUUACCCAUUUUGUUUAAUUUGUUUCUAUAACAUAUGUGAUAUGUACUUAUAUUAUGUUAACUUUGUCUUAAAUCAUUAAUCAAGAAUUAAUUUUUAAAUAAAAUUAUGUAUUAUGUAAUAAGAAACAAAUUAGUAUUUAGGAAAUAAAUCAAAAUUUGUAUUUAGGAAAUAAAUCAAUUAUAAUAUCACAUUAUUCAUGGUUUUAGUUGUUUUGCAGGUUCCACAUGUUAAGUAAUUCAAAACAAUUAUAUAUGCAAUUAAUAUAGCAUAAAGUUAUUUUGGGUUAAAUGAUUAAUGUUUUCACUUUAAAAAAGGCUAAAAGUAGAAACUAGACACGUGUCUGCGUGUAGUAACAAAUAAUAUAGCCAAAAGAUGCACCUACGUACAUGUAUUCAUUCUUAUUACAAUUUUGUUAGAUUUCUUUUUUGUUGCAUUUAUUUGCAGGAAGGGGAUUUAUGCGUGUUGGACUCAAGCUUAUCAUUCCAUGCCACUAUAUAAACGCAACAAAACGGUACGAUUCUUGUCAAACGCGAUCUUGUUAGUGAGACAGAGAGAAGAACAAACGAGACUACACCCCGUCUAGAGAUGAAUAUAGCACUCUUGCAAGUAAGAAAAGGAUGGUUAUACAUUUGAUCCCUUUCUCGUAAUUCGUACAUAUCUUUUUUUUUCUUUUACUCUUUUUGUUUGUACUUGUUUUUGCACCAAUGUUAAUUAGCCAUUGUUUUCAAUGAAAUAGUCAGGGUUCUUAUGAGGUACGUACCAUCAUCCGCGAGUGGAAUUUGAUGGUUUUAGCUCUCUUUUUCAGUCCAUUCAUAGAUUUUAGUUUCUGAGUUUUAUUGUUAAUAUAAAUUGGAUAUUUAGUUUGUACUCGUUAAUUUUACCAAUUUUUACAUUGUUUUACUCAGAAAGUGAUAUUUCUUACAUUAGGCUUUUAUUUAGAAAAAGUGAUAAAGUUUUACAAAAAUGUGAAUAUGGUAAUCGACCCGCAUAUGUAGCAUCAAAAUAAAAGGGAAAGUAAGUUUUUGCACUAUGAACUCAGAACGUUUGCAGAUGUGAACCUACUUCAUAACCAUCCGAGUCAAAUGAUCUCUUGGUACAUUGGCCCCUAAUAAUAUUCUAAAUUUACGGGCCCUGAAGCUAGCGCUUCAUCAGCUUGCUACUGCUACCUAGAGUAAAGGAAAUUUGAAACUUUCGCUUAGGACAAAAUGUUUGGAUUGCUUCUCUAUUUAAGUACUUACUAGAUUUUGACCCGCACGCCCGUGCGGGUGUAUUUUUUAAAAAAAUAUGAUGCUAUUUGAUUUUUAUGUCACUAUUUAGGGUUGGUAAAAAAACUCGAAUUCGAAGAAUUGAACCGAUCUCAAUCCGAAUAAGUAGUACUAAAUCUGAACCGGAAUUGAUUAAAUAUCCGAAUUAUUCAAAAUUUUGGUAUUUGAAGAACUGAAAUCUAAUCCGAUCCGAACCGAAGUAUUUUAGGUAUCCAAAAUAGAUUUAUAUACUUAUAUACAUUAAUUAUUUUUAGAUUUAAUAUAUAUAAAAACAUCCAGAAUAUAUAUGAUCUAAAUAUAUACAAAUAAUCAAACGUAAAUACUUAAAUAUAUGAUGUAAAUAUUUAAGUUCGCUUAAAUGCUUGAAAAUAUGAUGUAAACUUUUAAGUCCGCUUAAAUGCUUAUAUAUUCGCUUAAAUGCUUGAAAUUAUAUACAAAUAAUCAAACAAAAAAUAUCUUAAAUAGUUAAAAUAUACUCAAAACUCCAAAAAUAUUUAAAUAAUUAUUAAUUCUUUAUCCAAAUAUUUAAACCAAACCUAUUUAAAUUAGUUAUCCAAAUCCAAACUAAAUCCUCAAAGAUCUGAACUGAACACGAAAUCCCAAAAAGACCCGAAAACGAACCCGAACGCCCACCCAUAAUCACUAUUAUAUAUAUAUCAUAUAUGUGUCAUCAUAGGUUACAAAAUAUGUGUUAUCAUAUAAUUAAUCAUAUUUUAUAUGUACCAUCAAAUAAGUUUUCUUAUAAUUAAUAAUAUUUUAUACGUACAAUCAUAUAAAUAAUCACAUAUAUUAUAUUUUAAAAUUUAAUGUGAAAUAUAAAAACCAUACUUUAAGUUGGUGUUUGAAAUUGGGCGUUGUAUUGUAUUUUUCUUAUAUAUAUUGAAAACAUUUUUAUAAUAGUUAUUAGAAAAUAUGUUAGUAAAAAUCAAAUUUUGAAUAUAUAUAUAUAUAACAGUUAUUAGAAAAUAACUAAUAACUAUUAUAAAAAUGUUUUCUAUAUAUAUAUAUAUAUUUGAAUAAAUUUUUGAUAUAAUUUUAAAUUAUUAUUUUGAUUUGAAUAUAUUAUAUAUCAAAUAACAUAAAUCCAUUACUUUUUAUUAUAAUGUAAUGGAAUUCCAAUUUUUAGUAGCUAAGCCCAUUAUUUUUUUUCCUAACUUACUACUAUCCAUGUUUCCAAACAUUACUAUUUUUUUAACUACUAUUCAUAUUGCCAAACAAUCUCAAUUUGUACUUCAACUUUAAUAAUAUAGACUAGAGAUUGACCCGCACGCCCGUGCGGGUGUUAAUUUUUACGGUUUUAUAAAUUAUUUGUUAUUUUAUCAUUAGUGUUAUAUAUUUAAGAUGUGUCGUCGUAUAACUAAUUGUAUUCAAAAUAUUUGGAUUGAAUCGGGUAAUAAGAUUAUUUUUGGUACAAAUAUACACUCUUUUCAGAUACAUUGGUUAAUUAAAUAUUUUUCUAUUUCUACACAUCAAAAUCAAAAUCAUUCAGACCCGAGAGGAUCCAACUCAAGCAUCAUACAUAAAUUUAUAAUAUCCAAGUGGCGCCUAAUUUAAAAAUCCAAAAAAAUUAAUCCCGAAAGAAACAACUUGUACCUCAAUGAGUAUCCGAAUGUCCAUACUUAACUGAUUUUGCAAAUAGAUUAAAAAGGAAACUCUUUCUAUAUAUUUGGCAAAAAUAAGAAAAAUAGAAAGAAUUUUUUAUUUAAUAAAAUAGUUAUAUGAAGUGAAACAUUAAGUGAUAAUAAAUGUAAUACUUUUUAAUUAUUUUGAUUUAAAUUAUUAUCUUGUUCAUAUAAACUAUGCCUUUGAAUUAUGUGUUUUGCUAUGUAAUUUUUCACCAAUUGGAACUAAGACAAAAGAAAGUUUUAGUAAAACAUAUUAAACCAAACUAUUAACCAUAUGCAAAACUCGGUUAUCUUACAUUUUUAUUUUUUUUAUAAUUGCACAAAGUUAAUAUUGAUUAACUAAUAAAUAAAAAUCUACAUUAUUACUUUUACGGUAAAUAUAAUUAAUGAUGUGAUAUAUUGUUAAAGUAAUAUAAUUAAUGAAAUUACUAAAAUAAAACUAUACUUAUAUUUUUAUACAUUAAUAUUUGUUUUUCAUAAUUAGUGUUUUAUAUUUUAUAUAUGUCGUAAUAUAACUAAUUGUAUUCAAAAGAUCCGGAUCGAAUCAGAUAAUAUGGUUAUUUUUGGUACAAAUAUCCAAACCCGUUUCAAAUACAUUGGUUAUUUAGAUAUUUUAGGAUCAUAUACAUCAGAACCAAACUCAUCCAGACUCAAAAGAAUUCAACUCAAAACCUACACAUAAAUUUAUAAUAUUCAAGGAGUGAGUAAUUUUAAAACAAAAUAAAACGAUACCCGAAAGGAACGACUCGUACCUAAGUGGAUAUUUAGUGUUCAUGCCUAACUGAUUUUAUAAACUAAUAUAAAUGAUAUUUUUUAUGUGUUUUGCUAAAUUAAGUGAAACUGAAAGAGUUUUUUUUAUUUAGUAAGCAAUUAUAUUGAGUGAAAAAUUAAGUGACAAUGAAUGUAAUUCAUUUUUAUUAUUUUGAUUUAAGUUAUGAUUUUAUUCACUAAACAUGUUUUUGAAUUAUGUUUUUGGCUACGUAAUUUUCCACUGAUUGAAAAAAAAAAUGUUAUAGUAAAACAAAUUAAAACAAACGCUUAACCUUAUGCAAAACUCAGUUAUUUUGCUUUUUUGAUUUUAUAAUUGACACAAAACUAAUAUUGAUUAACUACUAAAUAAAAUCUACACUAUUAUUAUUAUGGUAAUAUAAUUAAUGAUGUGAAAUAUUGUUAAGACAAUAUAAUUAAUAUGAGUGAAAUAUGGAAAUACAAUUAAUGUAGUACUGCUAUCUUCGUUUCCAAACAAUUUUCAGUUAUAGUACUAUUCAUGUUUCCAAACAUUACUAAAGUGUACUUCAGUUUUAAUAAUAUAGAUAUACUAAAUCACUAGUAAUAUAUUGUUUCUUUGUUUUCUACAAUUACAAUUAAUUAAGAUGUUAAUUAUAACCAAUUAAUUAUAGUUGUAUUAUUUUUCUUUAAUUCUUGAAUUUAUCCAUAUGCUUAUCUUCUUCUCUUUUAUCAUAAAAAUUAUUUUAUUCAUUCAUUCUAUCUAUUAUUAUUUAUUUUAUUUGCUUAUUAUUUUUAGGUUCACAAAUUUAAUAUAAAAUUAUCUAUAAAAAGAGUUUUUUUUUAUAUUAGACAGUUUUCUUUUGCAUUUAAAUAUUUAUGAAAGAAAUAUAAAACUAUAAUAAAGCGCAUAUUUCUGCCAAAAUGUUAUUUCGAAAAUGAUUUUGAUUAGUUCUUCUAUUCCAUCAAAGAACAUUUUCAUUAAGCAUAAUAUUAUAUCUGGUUUAGGGCAUCAAAAACUAUUGGCGCCCUGCUGCUACCAGGACCAGCUUUGGCGCAGAUGACACUGACAUGGUGCCUAUCGUGUGCGACAACAGAACUGGAAUGGUCAAGGUAAGGAGACAAGUAAAACACUCCUUUUUAGUCCGCAAUGUUCUAACUGUUUUAACCUCAGUUUAUGCCUUUGCAUGAAAAAAAAACAUGAAAAAAACAUAUUUUAAUAUUGUAAAUAUUUUCAGUUUUUAUUUUCUACAAAAUAUUUUGCAUAGUGAAAAACGCAAACAAAAGUAUAUCUUGUGUUUGCCCGUUUACAUUUAUAAUUAACAAUCUAAUUUUCUUAAGAUACUUCCGGUGGUGCAUACAUUUAGAAAAUAUACACUACAUAUAAACAAACAAAACAAGAUAGCAUGUUGUGAUGAUUGGUAAAAUGCUGAAGGCGGGGUUAGCUCGAGACGAUGAACCAAGCGCUGUGUUCCCAAGCAUCGCUGGCCGUCCACGACACAUGGAGUGAGAGAUGUCAAUCAAAGUCCCACAUUGGAUAAUUAGACAAGGAGUGUCUAAUAUAUAAAGAGAUGUCCAACUCUAAUAGUACGAGGCCUUUUGGGAUGGAAACCAAAAGUAAAUCCAUGCGGGCCAGCCUCUAAGGCCCAAAGUGGACAAUAUCGUACUAAUAAGAUAAGAUAGAGUUGGACACGGGAUUUCGCAAUCCCAACAAUUGGUAUCAGAGCCUUACGAAAUCUGAGACCUAAUCCUACCGAGAUAUGGAAAAUAGGAAACAUAAAGUGUUUAGGAGUUAUCUAAUUAUGUUACCUAAUAGGAUUAGGAUAUUAUAAGUCCUAUAUAAGAAGAUGUCAAGUUGUGACAUAGCUUGUGAGGAUUUAGAGUUUGAGGACUUGAGUUUUGAGUGAUUUUCUCAGGUUAAUAAUAAGCGAGUUAUACUUAUUCAAUCUCUAGAUUCCAACAAUUGGUAUCAGAGCGGUUGACGAGAAAUCUGCAAGAAGACCAAAAUACCCUUCGAGUAGGAAUGGGACCCUUCAAGGUGGAAAGGGAGGUUCGGCAGAGAUUAGUCAGAAGAUCCUGGAAUUGUGGGAAGAACAUUCUCGACUAAGGGUGUCGAAUGUCGAAGAUGCGACAAGGCACCGAGAUGAUUCGCUAGAGGAAAAAUGGCACAAGGUGUGUGGUCCUUAGCUUGAGGGGGAGAAUGAGAGAUGUCAAUCAAAGUCCCACAUUGGAUAAUUAGACAAGGAGUGUCUAAUAUAUAAAGAGAUGUCCAACUCUAAUAGUACGAGGCCUUUUGGGAUGGAAACCAAAAGUAAAUCCAUGCGGGCCAGCCUCUAAGGCCCAAAGUGGACAAUAUCGUACUAAUAAGAUAAGAUAGAGUUGGACACGGGAUUUCGCAAUCCCAACAAUUGGUAUCAGAGCCUUACGAAAUCUGAGACCUAAUCCUACCGAGAUAUGGAAAAUAGGAAACAUAAAGUGUUUAGGAGUUAUCUAAUUAUGUUACCUAAUAGGAUUAGGAUAUUAUAAGUCCUAUAUAAGAAGAUGUCAAGUUGUGACAUAGCUUGUGAGGAUUUAGAGUUUGAGGACUUGAGUUUUGAGUGAUUUUCUCAGGUUAAUAAUAAGCGAGUUAUACUUAUUCAAUCUCUAGAUUCCAACAAUUGGUAUCAGAGCGGUUGACGAGAAAUCUGCAAGAAGACCAAAAUACCCUUCGAGUAGGAAUGGGACCCUUCAAGGUGGAAAGGGAGGUUCGGCAGAGAUUAGUCAGAAGAUCCUGGAAUUGUGGGAAGAACAUUCUCGACUAAGGGUGUCGAAUGUCGAAGAUGCGACAAGGCACCGAGAUGAUUCGCUAGAGGAAAAAUGGCACAAGGUGUGUGGUCCUUAGCUUGAGGGGGAGAAUGAGAGAUGUCAAUCAAAGUCCCACAUUGGAUAAUUAGACAAGGAGUGUCUAAUAUAUAAAGAGAUGUCCAACUCUAAUAGUACGAGGCCUUUUGGGAUGGAAACCAAAAGUAAAUCCAUGCGGGCCAGCCUCUAAGGCCCAAAGUGGACAAUAUCGUACUAAUAAGAUAAGAUAGAGUUGGACACGGGAUUUCGCAAUCCCAACAUGGAGCAGAUUAACAAUUGGGAUGACAUGGAGAAGAUUUGGCACCAUACUUUCUACAACGAGCUACGUGUGGCUCCUGAAAAACACCCUGUGCUGCUCGGUGAAGCUCCUCUAACCCCAAAGGCCAAUCGAGAGAAGAUUACCCAAAUCAUGUUUGAGACCUUUGGUGUCCCUAAACUAUACGUUGCCAAUGAAGCCAUUCUUUCUCUCUAUGCCUCUGGUCGUACUACAGGUAAAGGCAACUUUUUAUUUAUGUUUUGAAAAAAAUAAAGGCAAUUUAAAUUUAAAUUUUCCAAUUAAUUAAAAAGAGUAUGUUAUUUUUUUCCGUCAACCACAUGUAAGAAUAUGUUAGAAAAUUAAAAUUUGGUUAGUAUUUAAUAUAGAAUAUGUUAUUCUUUAGGCAUAUGUUUUCUAUAUGUUUUUGUGAGAUAAAUAUCCAAAAGCUGAAUAUAAGCACAAAUAGUAAUGAUGCAUUGGACGUCUAGUGGUUUAGCAUAAAAAGUUGGGUUCGUUGUACUUCUGAUUCGAUUUUCUUUCAAAAGAUAUUUUACGCCAUGUUAUAAGGUAUUAUUAUCAACUGGUUCCCUUGGAAAAAAAUAGGAUUUGGUGCAAACUACUCCCAGUUAAAAUAAAUAAAUAAACACAAAGGAACAAGAGUUUGUUCUUGGUUAAGUUAAUUUAUGAAAAUCUGAUUUUAACAAGUAUAUAUUGCAUUAGUUGAAAAUUGAAAUGAUUGGUGGAUGAGGUCUUAUCCUACUGAUUUUGCUUCUAGGUAUUGUGGUGGAUUCAGGAGAUGGUGUAAGCCACACAGUUCCCAUCUUCGAAGGUUACCCACCUCCCACAGGCGAUCUCGCGUCUAGACCUAGCAGGCCGAGACAUAACCGACUACCUCACCAAGAUCAUGAUGGAACGUGGCUACACAUACACCACAACAGCCGAGCGUGAGGUUGUCAGAGACAUCAAAGAGAAACUAGGUUACAUAGCUCUCGACCACGACCAAGAAAUGAAGAAAGCAACUGCGAGCUCAGCCAUCGAUAGAACCUACGAGCUUCCAGAUGGUCAAGUGGUCACGAUAUGAGCCGAGAGAUUCAGGUGUGCUGAGGCUCUUUUUCAGCCCUCCUUGGUCGACAUGGAAACUUGCGGUAUUCAUGAGAUGACUUACAAUUCAAUCAUGAAGUGUGAUGUUGACAUAAGGAAGGAUUUGUUCGGAAACAUUGUAUUGAGCGGUGGCACAACGAUGUUCCCUGGGAUUGCUGAUAGGAUGAGCAAAGAGAUGGCUGCGGUUGCACCUGCUGGCAUGAAGCUUAAACAUGUGGUUGGUUUUGAAAGGAAGAACAUUAAUGUUUGGAUUGGAGGCGCCAUUUUGGCUUCUUUAGACAGUUUUCAACAGGUAAAUUAUUUGGAUAUAAUAUGGUUUUUAAUUAAGUUAGGGUAUGUGGUUUUGUUGUGAUGCAUGUGAAUAUGCAGAUGUGGGUGACUAAGGCUGAGUAUGACGAAAAUGGACCGGGGAUUAUUCACAGAAAAUGCUUCUAAUAAUUAAGUUUAUUAGCCUUAAAUCAUCAUUUGUUCUGCUGAUAUAUAUAUGCUUUCCUCUUCUUAGUGUUAUGCCUGGUGAAAUAAAUCGUGUUGAGGGAAGCAAUAUAAUUGACUUCUUUGUUUGUAUUAAGUUAACUUUUUUAAGUAAUUUAUUUCUCUCCCAUAAUAUGAAAAGGAAAAUGACAAAUUUCAUCAAUUUUAGAUAAUCAAUAAUUAUAUGUCAAGUCUUUUGAAAACAUCAAAUUGAUUUUCUUCAGGGAACAAAAACAAUCAAAAUUAUGUCAAACCUACGAAAUACUUGAGAGCUAACAUGAAAAAAAACUCUUUCAAGUGAGCUCCAUAGGGGCAUGCACCCCUAUGAGUUUAACCUUUGGACAUAUUCAAUGUCUUUUCAUUCAUAUUUUAAGAAUUGUCAAUCAUGUUGUAACAUUUGCAUUGUAAAUACUAAAACGAUUAAUUUAUCAGAUUCUUAAGAAAAUAAUACAACACAUUUGACAAAAGUACGUCUUAAAGAAAAUACAUCUGCUUGUUAGGACCUUGGAGAUCUAAGAUUUUACCAAAAGGUAGCAAUUCAUUGUUGUGAUUAACUUUAUAACUGAAUGUUAAAGCUACGAGUAUGACAUUCCAGAUUCUUUAGGUUCACCUACCAAAAAAAAAUAACGAUGUUAGUGACUCUGAGAUAUGAAAGAAAAUGGAGUCCAGUGAGGACCAUCUCUGCCUCAAAUUUCAACUCACCGCAACAGCAACACCGGUCUCACAGAAUUUAGGAAUGCAGAUCAACCUGACCAGCUGACCUUCUGACCCUGCAACAUUAAUAUAUUAAACUUAAAGCACUGCUUGACCCAAAGACCUAUCAUGUUCUUAUAUAAUCAAAGGAGAUUGUACCUUUUACCAAACGGCUGUCAUACUUGUCUUGAUUCCCAACGAAGUAAACAUGAGGGCAAGUUUCAAUCAAGAAAGGGUCUCUAUCCGUGAAAGGAUAACAACCUGUAAAAAAAAAUGAAUCAAACCAAUGGACACUAAAUGUACACUUUACAGAGGGGAAUGUUAGCACUCACCUAGCGUAUUAGGUGCAGUGGGAGCAAGAUGCCUCCACCUCAGUGUUCUUUCAACAAAAUCAAGCUUGCUUUCAGCCUCUGAGUACUUGUCAAGGUCAUCAAUGUUCUGACCAGAUGUUCCAAGAAAUCUGCAAGAAAAUGUCAAAAAUAGGUUUUAGCUCAGACAAACGAACUGCAGUUAAGAGAUUGUGACCAUACCUGAUAUUAUCGACGUCAAAGGAGUGAGGAUUUGUACAUGAUCUGAACGUGUUAUAAGGUGCUGAUCCAGGGAAAAGACAUCUGUUCAGAGGCUGAAACAAAAGAAAACUUUGUCAAUUCACAUUUCGGUUUUUUCAAUGUUUAGUUAUGUAAUUUGCAAACCUGUUGAGGCAAAGCGAAGUUAGCUGGAUCAUUCAGGCCUGGCAUUAUAUCUACUGAAACUCCUGCAGCUAUCUACAAACAGUCCACAACCAAAAAAAAACAAGAAUUUGAAUUUUUCAUCUCAAUAUAAUUGAUAAGACACAGGUGGAUCUUGUUUUUAACUGACCUGGUUUAACAUGAUAUCAAGCUCUUUGAUGGGCUCAUACAGUGUUGACUGAUCUUUGGAGGCCAUGUUCUGCAGAAAAUCAACCAAUAACGAUCAUAACAGAGGCAGAUAGCUGAAACUGUGUAUAUCAGCAGGGAAAGCUAUCAGUACCUGUCCAGUUAAGAGUUUACGGGGGAAUUCAACAGAGUUUCCAGCAAUCACCACAUGAACUAUCUGCGCUGCAAGGCCUAGUUCCUGUUCAAACCAACAUAACUAUACAUUAGAAACUAAAAGGAAGAAAAAUACAGAAGAACCAGAAAGUUAAAAAGUUUUUAAACCUCAUCCUCUGAAACAUGUCCAGUUAUAUGGUCAACAAGAAGCUGAAAUAGCAGAGGAUUAGACGAACUGCUUCCAAUGGACAGGCCCGAAACUAGUAAAACGUAUUUAUCUUCCUCUGCAGAAGAGGAUAAGAUGAAUAAUUAUAAGAGAUUGCUUUAAGAUAUGAUGACAAGCAAAAGAAAGAAAACAUAGCUAGACUUACUUAGAUGAUCCAAAGGCCGUUCUAACUGAGGUGGUAAACCAGCUUCUAGCACAUCUUCAACAACGAACUCACCAGCACUAGUUUCCUUCCCGUGCAAUGCAACAACAACACCUACACUUGUCUAAUUCAUCACUAUCCAUUUUCUCUCAAACAUCAUAACAAACACAGCAAAGAAGAGCGACACAAUAAUACCUGUGACAUAAACUGCAGGUGAAAGAGCAGAGCCGCCAAGCUUAACUCUCCCACUCUCGUCUUCUAGGAUCAGACUAUCAUCAGGGUGCAUGAAGUUACGAGGUUUCACAAGCGGUGUAACUGACCUCUGCAUUGGCGUUUCAACACACUCAGCAGUUUAAAUACUCAAUCUCAAUCUUUGUAUAACCAACGAAAGAACGAACCUCUUUAGAGUAUUCAUCAAGAACGCAAGGUUUAAGCUUCAUAUGCUUAAACAAGGUUCCCACAAUGAUGCAUUCCUUUCCUUCUUCAAGUCCCAACACCUUGCAAACUAUCAAAACACACACAAACAAAAAUAAAAA
rnacentral:lncRNA from 1 species